GAUGAACGCUGGCGGCGUGCCUAAUACAUGCAAGUCGAGCGAACAGACGAGGAGCUUGCUCCUCUGACGUUAGCGGCGGACGGGUGAGUAACACGUGGAUAAACUACCUAUAAGACUGGGAUAACUUCGGGAAACCGGAGCUCAUACCGGAUAAUAUAUUGAACCGCAUGGUUCAAUAGUGAAAGACGGUUUUGCUGUCACUUAUAGAUGGAUCCGCGCCGCAUUAGCUAGUUGGUAAGGUAAAGGCUUACCAAGGCAACGAUGCGUAGCCGACCUGAGAGGGUGAUCGGCCACACUGGAACUGUGACACGGUCCAGACUCCUACGGGAGGCAGCAGUAGGGAAUCUUCCGCAAUGGGCGAAAGCCUGACGGAGCAACGCCGCGUGAGUGAUGAAGGUCUUCGGAUCGUAAAACUCUGUUAUUAGGGAAGAACAAAUGUGUAAGUAACUAUGCACGUCUUGACGGUACCUAAUCAGAAAGCCACGGCUAACUACGUG
rnacentral:rRNA from 1 species